UUUCACUCCAGUUUUCAUUGACGAGAUGUGGAUUUUUAGCAAGGGAUCAUUUCGUAGCUGGCAAGAUGACACCAAGCACACGGAUUUAAGGAAAAACAGUAAAGGGCCCUUUAACUUCAUAAUAAGAUAUCGUGGUCCACGCCGGAACCAAAGAUGGCUUCAUCAAGGGUGCAAAUUUAAUAUUCAAGAGUGGAUUAAAGACUGGAGAUUAUCAUGACAAUAUGAAUAGGAAAAUCUUCAAAAACUGGUUUAAAACUCAGCUAGUUCCAAAUCUUCCCCCAAAGUCAUUUAUAAUCAUGGACAAUGCAAGUUACCAUUCUGGUUUAUUAGAAGAAAUCGCGAGAAAAUCUUGGACAAAGCAGAGACUGACUGAAUGGUUGAAGAAAAAGAAUAUUGGCUUUCUAGAAAAAGCCAUGAAAGAUAAAAUAUGAAGUAUUGCACGCAGAAACUGCCCUAGUGAAAAAAAGUACUUGAUGAAUAUGUUAAACCUUUAGGACACAAAAUUUUGCGACUGCCACCAUAUCAUUGUCGGUUUAAUGCAAUUGAAAUGGUAUGGUCGGAAUGUAAACGAAAAUAUGAUCAAUAUAUUUCCAAUUUUAAGGGGUCACCUUCAGAAGUUCUGACUACAUGAGAAAGGGUAAUAAACGAAAUUUCUAUAGAUCAUUGGUAAAAAUAUGUUUUUCAUACAGAAAACGUAAUUGAAAAGGCUUGGGAGGCAAUACAAGUGUGUGAUGCCUAUGACAUUUUGCCACUUGUGAUUACGACUGACGAAGACGACGAUGACGAAGACAAUAUCUCUGAUUUCAGUUCUGACACUGACAAUACUGACGAGAUUGAUUAAGCUUUUUUUGUUCUAGCAAAUUUUAUUUUAUGAUCGUCGUUUAAGUAUUCAAUCAUAUCGUUGAAAUUUCAUUAACUUAGUAAUGAAAUAUGGCGUGUUUUUUUUGGGCUUGUAUGUUUUAUUUUUUGGAAUGGUAUUUUCAUUUUCAUGUGUUAACAUAUUCCUUCAAGCAGCAUUUUUUCAUGAACAAGUAAAUUAAAUUGUUAGUAUUUAAAUUUUUCCCAGUAAGUUAAAAUAAUUUUAUACCAAUAUUCAUAAUUUUUGUAAGCUCGGUUUUGUUACGUCUACUGCUCGUGCUGAAUUCUACUUUUCAAAUAUGUUGUAGAUUUGGUUUUUGCGGUUUUUUGCUUGGAAAAUAUAUAAGCAGCGUAAUCCUGAUCUGAUUUUAUCCCAUUCUUCUUUAUAUUUGCGAUCGUUGUUGUGCUCAAUUUUGUUGCAUCUGCGGCUCGCUCUAUCACAUUCUCAAUUUGAAGUGCAAUUCCGUUUCGGACUUGUUGUUUAUGUCCCAUUAUUUAUGAUUAAUUAUAAUAAUAUUUGUUAAUUGUUAAGUUUGUUAAUAAUACAAUAAAUACUACAAGAUUU